rnacentral:rRNA from 1 species
GACGAACGCUGGCGGCGUGCUUAACACAUGCAAGUCGAACGGAAAGGCCCUGCUUUUGUGGGGUGCUCGAGUGGCGAACGGGUGAGUAACACGUGAGUAACCUGCCCUUGACUUUGGGAUAACUUCAGGAAACUGGGGCUAAUACCGGAUAGGAGCUCCUGCUGCAUGGUGGGGGUUGGAAAGUUUCGGCGGUUGGGGAUGGACUCGCGGCUUAUCAGCUUGUUGGUGGGGUAGUGGCUUACCAAGGCUUUGACGGGUAGCCGGCCUGAGAGGGUGACCGGCCACAUUGGGACUGAGAUACGGCCCAGACUCCUACGGGGGGCAGCAGUGGGGAAUAUUGCACAAUGAGCGGAAGCCUGAUGCAGCAACGCCGCGUGCGGGAUGACGGCCUUCGGGUUGUAAACCGCUUUCGCCUGUGACGAAGCGUGAGUGACGGUAAUGGGUAAAGAAGCACCGGCUAACUACGUG